rnacentral:rRNA from 1 species
AUGGAUCCGCCGCUCCCCCCCGCCGCCGGCACGCCAUCCUCCGCCGCGCCGUCCUCCCCGCACCCUGGCCUGUAUCCUCUCCGCCGCGCCCUCCUCCCCGCGUCGUCCGAGUCCUCCGGGCGCGGUUCGCCGAAGGCGAGGCCCAGGCCGAUGCGCUCCUGGCCCGCGCCGGCCGGUUCGAGCGCACGCCGCCGACCGCGACCAGCUGCUCAUCACGCUCCUCUCCGAUGCGGGAAACGGCCGAGAGGAGGAGGACGCGCGGGAGGCGGGGCAGCGUCCGAUCCGGCCGAGGCUUACGGCGACACGGACGCGGAGGCUCUGGUAGCUGUCGCUGCGCUCCCUCCGUUCACUACCUUCCCGUUUUGUUUGGUGAGAUUCUCUUCAGAAAACAAGAUUUGUAUUGGUGGUAGAUCGACAGCAACUGACAACAUCUUCGUCAUCCGCGGUGGCAGUGCCAUGCCAUCCGUGCGGAAUGCCUUCUGCGGCCGCGCCGCCACCACCGCCACCGCCAUGCAGCCAAUGAUGUCAGCAUGUGGUGAAAAAAGGGCCCAAGUGAAAGGUCGACCAAGCUGUAAAAAUUCAGUGAGAGGAAAUUUUGUGCUCACAGCUCACACCAUGGCGUCCGUUGCCUCUGUUCUUACUUUAUUAUUUUGUUUUUCCCUUCGUCGAUUUUUCACGUUGCCUGACAAGAACAAGAAUUGCAAAGGAGAAGUGAAAAGAAAACACAGAACAAAGGAUGAACGCCGGAGAGCACUACUAUAUAAUUUUCCCCCAAAAUAUGAUGGGCAGUGGUGUGCUUGUUUGCAUUGA